CAGAGGGUGCGAGCGUUAAUCGGAAUUACUGGGCGUAAAGCGCACGUAGGCGGCUUGGUAUGUCGGGUGUGGAAUCCCCGGGCUCAACCUGGGAACUGCAUCCGAAACUGCCUUGCUCGAGUAUGGGAGAGGGAAGUGGGAUUUCCGGUGUAGCGGUGAAAUGCGUAGAUAUCGGAAGGAACAUCAGUGGCGAAGGCGACUUCCUGGACCAAUACUGACGCUCAGGUGCGAAAGCGUGGGGAGCAAACAGGAUUAGAUACCCUGGUAGUCCACGCCCUAAACGAUGAGAACUGGAUGUCGGGAGGGUCUGCCUUCCGGUGUCGUAGCUAACGCGUUAAGUUCUCCGCCUGGGAAGUACGGCCGCAAGGUU
rnacentral:rRNA from 1 species